rnacentral:rRNA from 1 species
UACGAAGGGUGCUAGCGUUGUUCGGAAUAACUGGGCGUAAAGGGCGUGUAGGCGGUCUAAUGCGUCAGAUGUGAAAGUCCUGGGCUUAACCUGGGGAUUGCAUUUGAUACGGUUAGACUAGAGGUUAUGAGAGGGAAAUGGAAUUGCGUGUGUAGGAGUGAAAUCCGUAGAGAUGCGCAGGAACACCAGUUGCGAAGGCGAUUUCCUGGUAUUAACCUGACGCUAAGGCGCGAAAGCGUGGGGAGCAGACAGG